CUCUGCUGGGGGAGCCGUGGGGGGGGGGCUGAACAGGGUCAGUAGCAAUGCUCUGUCCCCUCAGCUGUGAGCUCAGGUAGUGUACCCAGUGUGACCCAGCCCUGUGCACUGGGAGGCGAUGGGGCGGAGCAGGAAGACCUCCGCCUGUAAGCACUACACUCCUCUCAAGACAGGGGGCCGUGGCAGUUGCGUCUCGGGUGCUGCAUGUCCCUCUGCUUCUUGAGGCUGCUGACAGCCUUGGCUGCAUGUGACCACAGUGGCGAGUCCCAGCAGUUUCUUCAGCCCAACCCCCAUACUUGCAGUAUGAGUCACCUUCAAUUUCCUGCCUGCCUCUUCCCUGACUGACCUGAUAAAUCCGGACAGCUUUUAUUGCUUUUGGCAAAACACUGCCAUUAAGAUUUACGGAGCCAAAAGCUGUAGAAGGUAAUCUUCAGAGUAAUUUACACAGUGGGUUUCAAAAGAUGAAAAGUUAGCAUUUCAGAGGUAAUUUCAUAAAAAGGAUUAUCAGAUUAAUCACUGUGUCGAUUUAAUAGUGGUGUCUAAAAUAAUUAAUUAGCCUGCUUGAAGUCAGCAAUGCAAGAAGGAACCCAGAAGGAAUACAAAUGGCCAUGUCAGAUAGCGACAGCUGAUCUGCAAUGUGUUGAAUUGCCUUGUGACACCUGGAAAAUGUGUUCAACCAAGCCACAUCGGAGUGCUGACACGUCGCCGUGGUGGACGGUCCAGGUGUGACUUUCAGCUCAGUUGAGAAGUUACCUGUGAGUGUUCCAAGAUGGAAAGGAAUCAGUACCAGCUGGGCUAAGUCAUAAACUCCUCACGGUGCCCGCGCCGGCACAGCUCUGA